GACGAACGCUGGCGGCGGGCUUAACACAUGCAAGUCGAACGGAAAGGCCCUGCUUGUGUGGGGUGCUCGAGUGGCGAACGGGUGAGUAACACGUGAGUAACCUGCCCUGUACUUUGGGAUAACUGCAGAAAACUGGGGCUAAUACCUGAUAGGAGCGCCUGCUGCAUGGUGGGGGUUGGAAAGUUUAGGCGGAUGGGGAUGGACUCGCGGCUUAUCAGCUGGUUGGUGGGGUAGUGGCUUACCAAGGGUUUGACGGGUAGCCGGCCUGGGAGGGUGAACGGCCACCAUGGGACUGAGAUACGGACCAGACUCCUACGGGAGGCAGCAGUGGGGAAUAUUGCACAAUGGGGGGAAGCCUGAUGCAGCAACGUCGCGUGCGGGAUGACGGCCUUCGGGUUGUAAACCGCUUUCGCCUGUGACGAAGCGUGAGUGACGGUAAUGGGUAAAGAAGCACCGGCUAACUACGUG
rnacentral:rRNA from 1 species